rnacentral:rRNA from 1 species
CGGACGGGUGAGUAACGCGUGGGUAACCUGCCUCAUACAGGGGGAUAACAGUUAGAAAUGGCUGCUAAUACCGCAUAAGACCACAGUACUGCAUGGUACAGUGGUAAAACUCCGGUGGUAUGAGAUGGACCCGCGUCUGAUUAGGUAGUUGGUGAGGUAACGGCCCACCAAGCCGACGAUCAGUAGCCGACCUGAGAGGGUGACCGGCCACAUUGGGACUGAGACACGGCCCAG